GGGGGUGAAGCGCAGCAGUAGAGUGCUUGUCUGGUGUGCACGAGGCUCUGGGUUUGAUCCCCAGUACUGCCA
rnacentral:tRNA from 1 species